GAAGUUAUGUUAAAGGAAAGGAAAGGAAAGGAAAGAGAAAGGAAAAAUAAGAAAGAAGAAAAUUAUGGAAAUGGAUUGGAAUGGAAGGAAAGGGUACUGAAGUGAUCGAAAUGGAACUGAAAAUUAAGGAAAGGUACUAAAUGAAGGGCGUGAAGGGAAGUUAUGUUAAAGGAAAGGAAAGGAAAGCAAGUGAAGGGAAUGUAAGCGUUGGGAAGGAAAGAGAAGAAAGAAGAAAUGUUAUUGAAGGGAAGGGAAGGGAAAUAAUAUAAAGAGUGCAAAGGGAAGGGAAUGAAGGCAUGGAGGAAAGGGAAAGGAGAAAACGACGUGUUGGUAGGGAAGGGAGGUCGCUUGAAGGAAGGGGAGGAAGGGAAAGGGAGGGGGAGAGGAGGGAGGGGAGAGAAAGAAGUAUGGAGGAAGAAUGCAUGGUAAUAAGACCUUGAGAGAGAGAGAGAGAGAGAGAGAGAGAGAGAGAGAGAGAGAGAGAGAGAGAGAGAGAGA